AUUGAACGCUGGCGGCAUGCCUUACACAUGCAAGUCGAACGGCAGCGCGGACUUCGGUCUGGCGGCGAGUGGCGAACGGGUGAGUAAUACAUCGGAACGUACCCUGUUGUGGGGGAUAACUAGUCGAAAGAUUAGCUAAUACCGCAUACGACCUGAGGGUGAAAGUGGGGGACCGCAAGGCCUCACGCAGCAGGAGCGGCCGAUGUCUGAUUAGCUAGUUGGUGGGGUAAAGGCCCACCAAGGCGACGAUCAGUAGCUGGUCUGAGAGGACGAUCAGCCACACUGGGGCUGAGACACGGCCCAGACUCCUACGGGAGGCAGCAGUGGGGAAUUUUGGACAAUGGGGGCAACCCUGAUCCAGCAAUGCCGCGUGUGUGAAGAAGGCCUUCGGGUUGUAAAGCACUUUUGUCCGGAAAGAAAUCGCGCUGGUUAAUACCUGGCGUGGAUGACGGUACCGGAAGAAUAAGCACCGGCUAACUACGUG
rnacentral:rRNA from 1 species